rnacentral:rRNA from 1 species
AGUGAACGCUGGCGGUAGGCCUAACACAUGCAAGUCGAACGGCAGCACAGUAAGAGCUUGCUCUUACGGGUGGCGAGUGGCGGACGGGUGAGGAAUACAUCGGAAUCUACUUUUUCGUGGGGGAUAACGUAGGGAAACUUACGCUAAUACCGCAUACGACCUACGGGUGAAAGCAGGGGAUCUUCGGACCUUGCGCGAUUGAAUGAGCCGAUGUCGGAUUAGCUAGUUGGCGGGGUAAAGGCCCACCAAGGCGACGAUCCGUAGCUGGUCUGAGAGGAUGAUCAGCCACACUGGAACUGAGACACGGUCCAGACUCCUACGGGAGGCAGCAGUGGGGAAUCUUGGACAAUGGGCGCAGGCCUGAUCCAGCCAUACCGCGUGGGUGAAGAAGGCCUUCGGGUUGUAAAGCCCUUUUGUUGGGAAAGAAAAGCAGCAGGUUAAUACCCCGCUGUUCUGACGGUACCCAAAGAAUAAGCACCGGCUAACUUCGUG